rnacentral:sRNA from 1 species
UGUGGUUAUAUUAAGGGCGUAUGGUGGAUGCCUUGACACUAAAUGGCGAUGAAGGACGUGGCGUAACUACGAAAACUUCGGGGAGGUGUGUAGCAACCUUUGAUCCGGAGGUGUCCGAAUGGGGAAACCCAAUUGAGCAACCCUCAAUUACUCUGGCCUCGCGCCAGAGUGCGAACCCGCUGAAGUGAAACAUCUCAGUAAGCGGAGGAAAGGAGAACGAAGUUAUCCCCUUAGUAGCGGCGAGCGAAACGGGGAAAGCCCAAACCAGAUCGGAUGUCGGACUUUGGGUAGCAGUAUUUGGAAAUCGGAUCUCAGAUAUAAAACAUCUGAUAUCUGAAAUCCGAUAUCUGAUAUCUGAAAUCCGAUAUCUUGAUUUGGGGUAGUAAGGCAUGUGCGCUAUCUUGACUUACGACUUUCUACUGACGACGUAUGUUGUUGGUUGUUAGUCGUUGGUUGGGAUGUGGAAGAGUUAUAAAUUUUUUAGCUAGCCAAACUCCUUGGAACAGGAGACCAUAGAGGGCGAACGUCCCGUAGGCGAAAGCUAAAAAACUCUUUAGCAUGUGAUCUUGAGUACUUCGAAAAAUGAAUGUUUCGGAGGAAUCUUCCCGCACUAUCGGGAAAGGCUAAAUACAUUUAGUGAUCGAUAGCGAACGAGUACCGUGAGGGAAAGGUGAAAAGUAGGCCGGUGAGGCCGAUGAAAUAGAACCUGAAACCAUAUGUCUACAAGGAACGGAACCUCGCAAGAGGAACCGUGUGCCUAUUGAAGAAUGAACCAACGAGUUUAUGUGUAUCGCUCGUCUAAGUUCUACGGAACGGAGGCAUAGCGAAAGCGAGUCUUAAAAGGGCGAUUAUGGCGGUACGCAUAAGACCCGAAGCCGGGUGAGCUUGCCGUGGGCAGGAUGAAGUUCGUCGAAAGGCGAAUGGAGGUCCGAACCGGUUGGUUGUGCAAAACCUUCGGAUGACCCAUGGUAAGGAGUGAAAAGCUAAUCGAACUCGGUAAUAGCUGGUUCUCUCCGAAAUAGCUUUAGGGCUAGCGUCCAGGAUUAAUGUAUGGGGGGUAGAGCUACUGGUUGAGAGGUAAAGGGAGAAAUCUCGGCCUUUCGGUCAAACUCCGAAUACCCAUGCAAAUCGCCUGGGCAGUCAGAACGUGGGGGCUAAGCUCCAUGUUCGCGAGGGGAACAGCCCAGAUCGUUGUCUAAGGUCCCCAAAUCUAUGCUCAGUGUAAAAGGUAGUAGUUUGCCAGAGACAGGUAGGAGGUUGGCUUAGAGGUAGCCAUCCUUUAAAGAGUGUGUAACAACUCACUACUAGACGGCCGACUGCGCCGAAAAUUUACCGGGGCUUAAGCAUAGUACCGAAGACACGAAUGUCAGUGCAUUACACAAAGUGUUUAUAAAAGGUUUUUGGAAACAAUGAGAAGGAUGUAGAGCAGGAGAAGCUCAAACGAGAGAGCGCUCACAUGGCAUGUGAGAGGUUGAGGUUUGAAUCCUCACUCCUGCGCCACACCUAAAAAUCAAUAUCGAGAGAGGGGAUGUGAUCGUUUAAUGGUAAGACGUUCGGCGAUCCUUUAGGUCUGUGCUCCCGCGCGGAUCAGAGGAAUCAUCUUCCUCAAGGAGGCCUCCAGGAAGAAGAUCUAAGAUUUGCCGAAUAUGAGAGUUCGAAGCUCUCGAGCGUCCCCUCUCCCGAUCAAUAAUUGCACACCGUCACGAUUAUUAGUGGCUAGCCGCACUCUAAAGGUUGCUAAUCUGAAUCUGGGUUGGCUCCUUCUCAUUGUUUCCAAAAAAUAAAUAUUUUGUGUAGUGCAUUGACGUGGUAGGAGAGCAUUCCAAAUGCGCUGAAGCUUGACCCGUGAGGGCGAGUGGAGUGUUUGGAAGAGAGAAUGUUGGUAUGAGUAACCACAACCCGCCUGAGAACGGCGGGCCCCGAAAAUCCAAGGUUUCCUUCGCAAUGGAAAUCAGCGAAGGGUGAGGCGGUCCUAAGGCGAUGGCGAAAGCCGGAGCUAAUGGAUAGUCGGUUAAUAUUCCGACCCGCCAGUAUGAUUCGAUGGAGGGACAAGGUGUUGUACGCGGAUCGUCUUAAUGGUUUGACGUCCGUGACGCGAGAAUCUCUGACUGGCAAAUCCGUCAGAGUUCCUUUAAUGGUGCAUUCGAGCGUAGCGGCGAUGUCUGCUUAUGGCGGGCAAAGUUCGCGGAGCACAUCUUCGAGAAAAACUUCUAAGGUUAAUCAUAUUGGCACCGUACCGUAAUCCGACACAGGUGGGUGAGGCGAGAAGCCUCAGGGGAACGAGUGAUUCAUCCUUAAGGAACUCGGCACAAAAGCGGCCGUAACUUCGGGAUAAGGCCUUCCAGCCCUUUUGGAUAAUGAUCGUGUUAUGCGCCGACAAGAUAGUGGUAUGCUAGUAUUUGUCGUGUAACGUUAUUAUUAUCCAAAAGAGCUGGACGCAGCGAAAGUCUCUCGGGUGACUGUUUACUAAAGACACAGCUCCCUGCGAACUCGUAAGAGGAUGUAUAGGGGGUGACGCCUGACCGAUGCGAGAAGGUUAACGGUGCCGGUUGUGCCGCAAGGUACAGCUGAGUGCCCGAAGCCCUCGUCAAUGUCAGCGAUAACUAUAAUCGUUCUAAGGUAGCGCAAUUCCUUUCCGGGUAAGUUCCGGAGCGCACGAAAGGCGUAACGACCUGAGAACUGUCUCAAGGAUGAGCUCGGUGAAAAUGCGAUUCCCGUGAAGACGCGGGGUACCUGCAGCGGGACGAGAAGACCCCAGGAGCUUUACUGUAACUUGAUAUUGAUACUAGGGCUUGGAUGCGUAGCGUAGUGGGCAGGCUUUGAAGCCAUGCUUUCGGGCGUGGUGGAGCCGACGAUGAAACACCCAUCUUUCAAAUUUUAGUAUCUAACCUCGAGGGCAAAAACCGCGGGGGACAGUGUCUGGUGGGCAGUUUUAAUGGGGCGUUAUCCUCCCAAAAAGUAACGGAGGAGUUUAAAGGUCAGCUUAGUCCGGAUGGAAAUCGGACUGGACGUGUAAAGGCGUAUGCUGGCUUGACGGCAAGACACACAAGUCGCGCCGACGCGAAAGCGGAACUUAGUGACCCGACGGCAAUGUCAUGUGUUAUUUAUAAUGCGUGAUGCUUCAUAGGAAGGCCGGAGACAACGGAUAAAAGCUACCCUGGGGAUAACAGGCUGGUGAUGCCCGAGCGUCCAUAGCGACGGCAUCGCUCGGCACCUCGAUGUCGGCUCACCCUAGCGCGGGGCUGGAGAAGGUCCCAAGCGUUUGGCUGUUCGCCAAUUAAAAGGGUACGCGAGCUGGGUUUAGACCGUCGUGAGACAGGUUGGUCUCUAUCUGCUGCAGGCGUUGACGCUUGAGGGAGGUUGGCUCUAGUAAGAAAUUGCUACUUUCCCGAGUAAUCGGGAAUGAUAAUAUGGCUAAUAACGGUGAACUCUUAACUGUUCUGGUUCGUUGAUAGCUACAACUACAUGUCGGUCCGUUAGUUGUGGUACAAUUUACUUGAGGACCAGUAAAUUAAUUAAGACAAUACCGUGGGAAGUCGAUCAAAAACAAAUCUAGCUUACAUAGCUGGUUUUCUUGAUGGCGAUGGAAGUCUAAUGAUGCAAAUCAAAAAGCGUACUGACGGAAUCAAAAAAUUCCGAUUUAUGCUCACUAUUUGUUUGUAUCAAGAUUCAAGACAUGAUAAACCUUUGUGGUGGAUCAAAAAACAAUUUGGUAUCGGGUAUAUUUCCAAGAGGAAAGAUCAUAUAACCGAAUUGAGAAUUAAUGGUUUUAAGCAAGUCCGAACUAUUCUUGAAGAAUUACUUCCGUAUAUUCGCUUUAAAAGAAAGCAAGCGAUUGAAAUAAUUAAAGCUGCGCGUAUUCUUGAAAAUAGAAAGGUUAGUGUCAGGAAUACAAAAAAACUUGUUGAUUGUAUAAUUACUAUUCAAAAAAACAAUUAUGCGACCAAAAGCAAACGCAGCAAAAGUGAGUUAUAUAGUGUUUUAGGUUUGACCCCGUAACGACUGAUUUCCAAUGAUAUAUUGGAAUGAAAUAGAAACUUUUUAGUUUUUAUGAUAUGCCAUCCCCCGGCGCUUUGUCGGGGUGAAGAUAUAGUCUGCGCACGUAGUGAUACGUGAUAUCGUGACGAGAGGACCGGGCUGAACGAACCUCUGGUCUACCAGCUUUGGUACCAACUGAAGCGCUGGGUAGCUAUGUUCGGUCGGGAUAAGCGCUGAAAGCAUCUAAGCGCGAAGCCCAUCCCAAGAUUAGGCGUCGUAGGAUCCUGGAAGAUGACCAGGUUGAUAGGCUCUCGGUGUACGCAUCGUAAGAUGUUUAGCCAAGGAGUACUAAUAAUCCAUACUGACUACAAU